GCGCGAUUAGCUCAGCGUGAGAGCGCUUCCCUGACACGGAAGAGGUCUCUGGUUCAAUCCCAGUAUCGCGCACCA
rnacentral:tRNA from 1 species